GACGAACGCUGGCGGCGUGCCUAAUACAUGCAAGUCGAACGAGAGCGACCGGUGCUUGCCCUGGUCAAUCUAGUGGCGAACGGGUGAGUAACACGUGGGUAACCUGCCCAUCAGAGGGGGAUAACAUCCGGAAACGGAUGCUAAAACCGCAUAGGUCUUCGAGCCGCAUGGCUUGAAGAGGAAAAGAGGCGCAAGCUUCUGCUGAUGGAUGGACCCGCGGUGCAUUAGCUAGUUGGUGAGGUAACGGCUCACCAAGGCCGUGAUGCAUAGCCGACCUGAGAGGGUGAUCGGCCACAUUGGAACUGAGACACGGCCCAUACUACUACGGGAGGCAGCAGUAGGGAAUCUUACGCAAUGGACGCAAGUCUGACGGAGCAACGCCGCGUGAGUGAAGAAGGUUUUCGGAUCGUAAAACUCUGUUGUUAGAGAAGAACAAGUGCUAGAGUAACUGUUAGCGCCUUGACGGUAUCUAACCAGAAAGCCACGGCUAACUACGUG
rnacentral:rRNA from 1 species